rnacentral:rRNA from 1 species
UCCUACGGGAGGCAGCAGUGGGGAAUAUUGCACAAUGGGGGGAACCCUGAUGCAGCAAUGCCGCGUGGGUGAAGAAGCACUCCGGCGCGUAAAGCCCUGUCAGCAGGGAAGAAAAUGACAGUACCUGAACAAGAAGCCCCGGCUAACUACGUGCCAGCAGCCGCGGUAAUACGUAGGGGGCAAGCGUUAUCCGGAUUUACUGGGUGUAAAGGGAGCGCAGGCGGCGAGGCAAGCCAGAUGUGAAAACCCGGGGCCCAACCCCGGGACUGCAUUUGAAACUGCCAGGCUGGAGUGCCGGAGAGGUA